rnacentral:rRNA from 1 species
UAGGGAAUAUUGGACAAUGGGCGCAGGCCUGAUCCAGCCAUGCCGCGUGAGUGAUGAAGGCCCUAGGGUUGUAAAGCUCUUUCACCGGUGAAGAUAAUGACGGUAACCGGAGAAGAAGCCCCGGCUAACUUCGUGCCAGCAGCCGCGGUAAUACGAAGGGGGCUAGUGUUGUUCGGAAUUACUGGGCGUAAAGCGCACGUAGGCGGAUCGAUCAGUUAGGGGUGAAAUCCCGGGGCUCAACCCCGGAACUGCCUCUAAUACUGUCGAUCUGGAGUUCGAGAGAGGUGAGUGGAAUUCCGAGUGUAGAGGUGAAAUUCGUAGAUAUUCGGAGGAACACCAGUGGCGAAGGCGGCUCACUGGCUCGAUACUGACGCUGAGGUGCGAAAGCGUGGGGAGCAAACA